CCAUGCUCUCUAUUUUUCUCCAUUUUUUUCUCUUUUUCUUUUCUUUUUUCUAUUUUCCACUUUGCUUGCUUAUACAUCUUUUAUUCGAUAAAUUACUACAAUAAACAUAAAAUACUGCCUAAUAAUAAGUGUUAAUCAAGAUAAAAGCAAUGCUUAUGAAGCCAAAUAUACGAUACGUUUUCGCGUUAUCAAACUCCUCCAUACUUAAACCUUUGCUUGUCCUCAAGCAAAUGCUGCGUACAUGAAUAAAAAGUUUAGUAAUAUCUUUGCAGCAUAAAGUAUCAAGACUCG
rnacentral:lncRNA from 1 species